rnacentral:lncRNA from 1 species
AACAUUACCUUGCGUCUUUAUCUUCUUAAGCACUGCCUCCGCUACUGCUGAAAUGACUGAUUGCGGAAAACCUGCUUCUUCUAACCUUACAAUCGGCCUGUCAAAGCUUUCCUGUAUUUUGUGUGUUCAUGACUUUCUUAAGGCUUACAUGAUGCACUGGGUGGCUUUUGCCCGCUUAACGGUUUUCAAGUGAGCCGAAUCGUAGGGCAACAAUUUC